CUCCUGCCUCAGCCUCCCGAGUAGCUGGGACUACAGGUGUGAGCCACUACGCCCCGCCCUUAAUUUCUUUUUUAGGUAGUUUGUUGUUAGUGCACAACUGAUUUUUGUAUGUUAAUUUUCCAUCUUCCAUUUAGUCAUAUGUCUACUACUACAAUAAUUUUUACUCCUUCCACAGCACACUAACUCUGAAUUUCUCUUCACAAUCAUGUAUAGAACAGCUGUAUAUUCUAGUACAUCAUUUAUUUGACCAUCAAAUACAUGGCAUCUGGCAAGGAAUUGAAAAGUGGCUUGUCUAUCUGGAAUACAGGGAGGUAGGAGUUGAAAUGGGAUGGGAAGAGUCAUCUGUAUGCAGAGGAGGUAUAAAGUCAUGCAAAUGGAUAAGAUUUCAAGAAGAAAGAAGAAAAAGGUAGGCUCUGAGUUUGGAGAGUUGAAUGAGCCUACAGAGAUAAAGAAGUUGUUGCUGGAGAGAUCCCAGAUGAGCACCAGUUGCAGCAGUCAAACACCAUCUAUCUGUAUAUCAAGAUAAAUUAUGAAAGGAUUAUAUACCAACUGUCUAAAUGACAAAGAGAAGAAAGCUUCGAAGAAACUUUAGCAGGAAUGAGGACACCAAGGAAAGCGUUAAAUUCAAAUUAAGAUGGUGCUGGUCACAGUGGCUCAUGCCUGCAACCCAAGAAGGCCAAGAGGGAAGAUCGGUUGAAGCUACGAGUUCAAGACCAGCCUGGGCAAUGUAGUGAGGCCAUGAUCUCUACCAGAAAAAGAAUUAGCUGGGCAUGGUGGCAGGCACCUGUGGUCCCAGG